rnacentral:rRNA from 1 species
ACGUACACUCCUGCGGGAGGCAGCAGUGGGGAAUAUUGGACAAUGGGCGCAAGCCUGAUCCAGCCAUGCCGCGUGAGUGAUGAAGGCCCUAGGGUUGUAAAGCUCUUUCACCGGUGAAGAUAAUGACGGUAACCGGAGAAGAAGCCCCGGCUAACUUCGUGACAGCAGCCGCGGUAAUACGAAGGGGGCUAGCGUUGUUCGGAUUUACUGGGCGUAAAGCGCACGUAGGCGGACUAUUAAGUCAGGGGUGAAAUCCCGGGGCUCAACCCCGGAACUGCCUUUGAUACUGGUAGUCUUGAGUUCGAGAGAGGUGAGUGGAAUUCCGAGUGUAGAGGUGAAAUUCGUAGAUAUUCGGAGGAACACCAGUGGCGAAGGCGGCUCACUGGCUCGAUACUGACGCUGAGGUGCGAAAGCGUGGGGAGCAAACAGGAUUAGAAACCCUGGUAGUCCC